GAUGAACGCUGACAGAAUGCUUAACACAUGCAAGUCGAUGGGGAAGUGGUGCUUGCACCCUGGUAACCAUGGCGGACGGGUGAGUAACGCGUAAGGAACUUACCUGCGGGACCGGGAUAACAGCAGGAAACUGCUGACAAGACCGGAUAAGGUCAUUAAGCUGCAUAGCUUAGUGAUGAAAGGAGACGCCUGCGGAGAGCCUUGCGUCCUAUUAGCUAGUUGGAGGGGUAACGGCCCACCAAGGCGAAGAUAGGUAGCCGGCCUGAGAGGGUGGACGGCCACAAGGGGACUGAGAUACGGCCCUUACUCCUACGGGAGGCAGCAGGGGGGAAUAUUGGACAAUGGGGGCAACCCUGAUCCAGCAAUUCUGUGUGCACGAAGACGGUUUUCGGAGUGUAAAGUGCUUUCAGCAGGGAAGAAGGAAGUGACGGUACCUGCAGAAGAAGCGACGGCUAAAUACGUG
rnacentral:rRNA from 1 species